GAGCUGGACACUGACUAAUGGAUUUCAGCCAACAUGAAGGUAUUAUGUAGAACUGGACACUGACUAAUGGAUUUCAGCCAACAUGAAGGUAUUAUGUAGAGCUGGACACUGACUAAUUACUACUCCCGUUUAUUUCAAUGGUCAAUGCUUCACUCGCUGCCUCAGCCCAAAAAGUAGGAAAUUGACCGCCAAAAUCUUGGUUCUUGGUGCUCAGUUAUGGCAGUGGUUCUCAAACUAGGGGUCGGGACCCCAAGUGGGGUCGCCAAACGUUUUUUGGGGGUCGCGAAAUGAUCUUGCUGCCCUGUGCAUCAACAUAUUAGGCUUUGACAUGCUCUAUAGUCUAUCAGAAAUGGUGUUUUCUACAUCAGGGUGGAUAAUGAAAACUAAUAUUGUCUCAGCAAGCAGUCUCAUCAUUCAAGAUGAAACUGAAUUUAGACCUAUAAUAUCCUGUAAAAAUGUGUGGGGGGUCGCGAGACUUGGCAAAUGGAUUUUAUGGGGUCCCCGGACAAAAAGUUUGGGAACCACUGAGUUAUGGCACCUAAACUGGUCACCUGACCAGCGAAUAGCACUGAUUGGCCACACUAUGGGGAAAAAGACUUCCUGGUCAGUUACUAGCACCCAAACACACUGCUGCUGAUUGGAGCGUACUCUCCUGAUCCUGACCUCCCUGGGAGAGAUGCAUUGGCCUCACCGUGUGCUUGUGUCUUACACAAUCUAGUGGGUGGAUUCACACUUGAAGGAGCAUUAAGGACGUUCUAAUGUGAGAAGUUCUAAUGUGACAUAAUGUACAAAAACCAGGGAUCAACUUAUUUUUCAUAAUUUUUCUUUCUUUAGGCCUACAGGUGCCAAUUAGACCUUAAGCUAAGAAAAAAGCUUAAAGGCACUAUGAGUAAGAAUUUUCGUGAAAAAAUUAACUGGACUAAAAAUAUUAACAGAAUUCAGAAAUCAGUUUUUAAGUUAUUUAUUAAAUCAUUAAGAUCGCUAGCCAGAACGGCAUAUGGCUCCUUUAAACUAAUUUAUGGCUACAAUAUAGUUACAAUGUCUAUUAAUUUCCUUUUGCCAACUUAAAAGGUUAUGCAAGGUGUACCAUGCAUUUUGCCAAUGUUUAUUAGUGUUUUCUGCAUUAAAGGAGCUGUAUGCUUUUUUGGCUAGCUGUCAGCUAGUGAGCUAAAUGAUUUCAUACACCACACUCACGCAGAUCGGAGACUGGUCCAAACCUACCUCCUCUCCUUUCACAGAAACAACAACAAUUUAACUUUUGUAGAUAUAUCAGUGUCAAAACUGCUAUUUCUUUAUGUUCUGUUAAUUUUUUUAUGUAAACUAAAAUUAUUGCAUGUAGCACCUUUAAACCACUUUAAGUUGCAGUCUUAGAGAAAUCAUUUUAAAUGUGAAGGGCCAGGUCUGAUGAUAAUUGUACAGUUUGCAAUUCUGGCGAAAGGUUGUUGAUAUCUGAGUUCAACAGCCAAUUCAAUUACAAUUUAGUUUGUUUCCCAUUUACAGAGCCAGGACUGUGCAAACAUUCGUUUUUUUGAGCGCACACAUAUAGUUUUAAUCACUUGCUAGUAACUUUUUACACUUUUCAUACUGAGCAUCCAAAGAAAAUAAAUAAUCAGCUCUCCCUUUUUCUUUAAAAGGUAAGUUCGUCAAAUUCAGCAGAUUGCUUCCCCCAGUCCUCCAGCUGUUGGUGCAGAGAACACAAUCCUGUCUCUGUAGAUGAGAGCAGAGAGAGAGAGUGGCUCGACCAACCCAUCAACAAUCACAGCCUAUCAACACGGUGCUUCAGCAGCACGUCCUGGAGGGGUUUAUUGUUUAUUAAGGAUCCCCCACCAUAGUGGCAUUUGAUUGGCCCAAAUUGAGCUCAAAUAUUAACAAUGUUUUAAGAAACAGAGUCUGUUGCCAUUGGCUGUAUCUCACACAAUUGUAACCCAAGUCUCCUUUGGCCAGAUGUUUAAAAACAGCAGCACACACAGACAUGGCAGAAACACUUGUUCUCGUUCUUGUUCAUCUGAUGGGUCGUUUCGUGUGGUUGAUGUGAUGUUUAAUGGAAUGCUUUGUUGCUCUUUUUCUUUCCCCAAACUUGACACGUCCUUCCCUGUAUGCCCUGGCCUCUCUUCCUCUGCCCACACAGGAGGGCUUUUAAAGUGCUGCACCACUGUGCAAUGAACCAAAGUAAAUGCCCAUUGACCUAGUGAUGACAACCUGCCCCAAACUCCCUCAUUAUGGCUAAAUACACCUGGAGAUUUCUUUGUAUUUUAAAGUGUGCUAUACAAAUAAAAUCCAUUAUUAUUUAUUAUUAUUAUUAUUAAAUAUCAAGGUUAGACUGCUCACCCUUAGACUGCACACACUGAGGAGACUAGAGAAGAACCAGCUACGGGAAUUAAAUGUACUAACCAAUGAAUAAACAAACACAAAUAUUUACCAUGUAAAACAUUUAUUUAAAUAAGUAUCAUGUUACAGUACCAUAAAGAGGCUUAGUAUGAAAACCAUAGAAACACUUUAAGCCAUUUCAAACAGAAGAUCUAUGGUUGUCACAACAGACAGAAGAAAAAAGGAGGGACUCGUACACAAUGCUCGACAAUCUCAUUCACUUAAAACAUAAAAAAAAUGAAUUACUGAAACGUACAUGAUGGUUUAAGGCCAUUCAUUUCUGUUGAAGGUCAACUGUGCCUUCACAUAAAACACAUCAUUGAUUCUCCAGGUAUACAGUACAGUAACAUAUUGCAGU
ensembl:lncRNA